rnacentral:rRNA from 1 species
GACGUAGGGCGCGAGCGUUGUCCGGAUUUAUUGGGCGUAAAGAGCUCGUAGGCGGCUUGUCGCGUCGAUCGUGAAAACUUGGGGCUCAACCCCAAGCCUGCGGUCGAUACGGGCAGGCUCGAGUUCGGUAGGGGAGACUGGAAUUCCUGGUGUAGCGGUGAAAUGCGCAGAUAUCAGGAGGAACACCGGUGGCGAAGGCGGGUCUCUGGGCCGAUACUGACGCUGAGGAGCGAAAGCGUGGGGAGCGAACAGG